rnacentral:rRNA from 1 species
AGUGAACGCUGGCGGUAGGCCUAACACAUGCAAGUCGAACGGCAGCACAGUAAGAGCUUGCUCUUACGGGUGGCGAGUGGCGGACGGGUGAGGAAUACAUCGGAAUCUACUUUUUCGUGGGGGAUAACGUAGGGAAACUUACGCUAAUACCGCAUACGACCUACGGGUGAAAGCAGGGGAUCUUCGGACCUUGCGCGAGUGAAUGAGCCGAUGUCGGAUUAGCUAGUUGGCGGGGUAAAGGCCCACCAAGGCGACGAUCCGUAGCUGGUCUGAGAGGAUGAUCAGCCACACUGGAACUGAGACACGGCCCAGACUCCUACGGGAGGCCGCAGUGGGGAAUAUUGGACAAUGGGCGCAAGCCUGAUCCAGCCAUACCGCGUGGGUGAAGAAGGCCUUCGGGUUGUAAAGCCCUUUUGUUGGGAAAGAAAAGCAGCAGGUUAAUACCCCGCUGUUCUGACGGUACCCAAAGAAUAAGCACCGGCUAACUUCGUG